rnacentral:tRNA from 1 species
GCUCAGUUGGUUAAGCGUCUGAAUUUAGCUCAGGUCUCACGACUUGUGGGUUCGAGCCCCACAUUGGGCU